UACGUAGGUGGCAAGCGUUAUCCGGAAUUAUUGGGCGUAAAGGGUGCGUAGACGGCAUCAUAAGUCUAAGGUUAAAUACAUGAGCUUAACUCAUGUCUGCCUUGGAAACUAUGAAGCUAGAAUGUAAUAGAGGACAAUGGAAUUCCAUGUGUAGCGGUGGAAUGCGUAGAUAUAUGGAGGAACACCAAUGGCGAAGGCAGUUGUCUGGGUUAUUAUUGACGUUGAGGCACGAAAGCGUGGGGAGCAAAUAGG
rnacentral:rRNA from 1 species